GCUUGGUUUCCCUGGCAACUGGAGCAAUCAGGGCACCGCAGCGAGGGAGAUGCUGGCGAGACGACAGCGAGAUCCUCUCCAGGCCCUGCGGCGCCGCAAUCAGGAGCUGAAGCAACAGGUUGAUAGUUUGCUUUCUGAGAGUCAACUGAAAGAAGCUCUAGAACCCAAUAAAAGACAAGAUAUUUAUCAAAGAUGUAUCCAGUUAAAGCAGGCAAUAGAUGAAAAUAAAAAUGCUCUUCAAAAAUUAAGCAAAGCGGAUGAAUCUGCACCUGUUGCAAACUACAAUCAGAGAAAAGAAGAGGAGCAUACUCUUUUGGACAAGCUUACCCAACAACUGCAGGGCCUUGCUGUGACAAUAAGCAGAGAAAAUAUAACUGAAGUUGGGGCACCUACUGAAGAAGAGGAAGAAAGUGAAAGUGAAGAUAGUGAAGACAGUGGUGAGGAGGAAGAAGAUGCAGAGGAGGAAGAGGAAGAGAAAGAGGAAAAUGAAUCUCACAAACAGUCAACCAGUGAAGAAUACAUCGCUGUUGGAGAUUUUACUGCUCAGCAAGUUGGAGAUCUUACAUUUAAGAAAGGGGAAAUUCUCCUUGUAAUUGAAAAAAAACCUGAUGGUUGGUGGAUAGCUAAGGAUGCCAAAGGAAAUGAAGGUCUUGUUCCCAGAACCUACCUAGAGCCUUAUAGUGAAGAAGAAGAAGGCCAAGAAUCAAGUGAAGAGGGCAGUGAAGAAGAUGUAGAGGUGGUAGAUGAAACAGCAGAUGGAGCAGAAGUUAAGCAAAGAACUGAUUCCCACUGGAGUGCUGUUCAAAAAGCGAUCUCAGAGGUGGGUAUCUUCUGUCUUAUUAAUGAUGUCUUGUUUUGUUACCUAAUAGCUCUGAUGCGAAACAGGAUGGAGACUGUGGAAGAUAGCAGUGGAUCUGAAACAGGGUUCAGGGCAUGGAAUGUACAGAGCAGAGGAUGUAUAUUUCUGGUUUCUAAGCCUGUGCUCCAAGUAACAUUUCUCAUUAGUUUUUUUUUUGUACAAAAAGAAUAGAUAAUCUUAUUCAUGGUGUCACUUGAGGGCUUGGAAACAUUCUCAUUGAUCCUGCUUUCCUAUCAUUUGAGUGGAAACAGAUGUUAAAUUUUAAUUACUAUUCGAAAAAUCCUGAAAGGCUUUAAUAAAAAGUAAGAAAUCGGCCAGGCGUAGUGACUCAUACUGGUAAUCCCAACAUUUUGGGAAGCUGAAGCAGGAGGAUCACUUGAGGCCAGGAAUUCAAGACCAGCUUAAGCAACACAGUGAGACCCUAUCCUACAAAAAAUAAGAAAAAUUAGCCAGGUUUGAUGGCUCAUGCCUGUAGUCCCAGCUACUCGGGAGGCUGAGGUGGGAAGAUUGCAUGAGCUUGGGAAGUCAAGGCUGUAGUGAGCUCUGAUUGUGCCACUGCACUCCAGAGCAUGAGUGACAGGGCAAGACUGUGUCUUAAAAAAAAAAAAAAGUAAUUAAUUAAAUUUUUUUAAAGGAAGAAAUGAUCCAUAAUUCUGUCAUUAAAAAAAAAUUACAGGCCAGGCACAGUGGCUCACACCUGUAAUCCCAGCACUUGGGAGGCCAAGGCAGGUGGAUCACCUGGGGUCAAGAGUUCAAGACUAGCCUGGUCAACACAGCAAAACCUCACCUCGACUAAAAAUACAAAAAUUAACUGGGCAUGUCUGUAGUCCCAGCUCCUGGGGAGGCUGAGGCAGGAGAAUUGCUUGAACCUAGGAGGCGGAGGUUGCAGUGAGCUGAGAAUACGCCACUGUACUCCAGCCUGGGCGACAGAGCUAGACUCCGUCUCACAAAACAAAAAAACUAUUACAUAGCCAAAUGAAAAUUCUCCUCCUCAAACUCAUAAGUAAUCACCAUUAACAAUUUAGUAAGUAUCCUUCCUGACCUUUUUAUUUAUUUAUUACUUAUAAGUACAUGCUUGUAUGUGUGAGGGUGUGUGUCUAUGAGUUGUGUGUAUGUGUAUACAAAAAAAAUCCAUUAAUUCUUCAGUGCAUAUGAUUUGCCAAUAGACAUUAACUUACCUGUGAAAUGGAAGCGCAGGGUGGAGCAGGACAGGAGCAGGGACAUUUUGAUAAGGGUGUACUUGAAGCAGCUGCUCCGGAACACACAGUUCUGCGCGCUGGGCACUGUAUGGGGCUUAGGUCCUUAGGGGAGGCCAGGGUGCUGUGAUGGCAUCCUCUCAGGAAUUUGGGGCCAAAUCGUAUUAUUCUUCCACUAAAGUCUGUAUGUUUAUGUUUUUCUUUUUUGGGUUAUAGUUACUCUAGUGAUAAAGAGAAAGUAUUAUAGAGUUGCAGAAACAUGACUGAAAACAAAUCCAUUUUGAUGUUACUGUCUUCAGCAGAUAAACACUGUUGAUGUGUUAACCACGAUGGGAGCUAUUCCUGCAGGGUUCAGGCCUUCCACACUCUCACAGCUUCUGGAGGAAGGGAAUCAAUUUCGAGCAAGUUACUUCUUACAGCCAGAGCUCAUGCCUUCACAACUGGCCUUCAGAGAUCUGAUGUGGGAUGCUACAGAAGGCACUAUUAGGUCGAGACCAAGUCGUAUUUCAUUGAUUCUGACAUUAUGGAGCUGUAAAAUGAUUCCUCUUCCAGGAAUGAGCAUACAGGUUCUCAGCAGACAUGUACGCCUCUGUCUAUUUGAUGGUAAUAAGGUUCUGAGCAACAUUCAUACAGUCAGAGCCACAUGGCAAUCUAAAAAGCCCAAAACAUGGACCUUUUCUCCCCAGGUUACUCGCAUCUUGCCAUGUUUGUUUGAUGGUGAUUGCUUUAUCAGGUCUAAUUCUGCGUCUCCAGAUCUUGGAAUAUUAUUUGAACUUGGAAUUUCUUAUAUUCGCAAUUCAACUGGUGAAAGAGGAGAGUUAAGCUGUGGCUGGGUGUUUCUUAAACUUUUUGAUGCCAGUGGAGUUCCUAUUCCAGCAAAAACUUAUGAGCUUUUCUUGAAUGGUGGUACUCCUUAUGAAAAAGGUAUUGAAGUGGACCCUUCAAUAUCCAGAAGAGGUAUGGCUCUCAUGUGUUGUCUUCCUUUCCUUAAAGAUUAAACAAAUAGAAGCACCCGAGAGGUAGCUACAUUCUGAUAAGCAUAGCGUUUUUUACUUGGAUUCACACUUUUAAAAAUAUGUCAUUUGAUAUAAAAAUUUUAAUCAUUUUUAAGUACUUAUUUUCUUGGUAACACAUAUGAGACUCUAAGAAAUCAUGAAGAAUGAAAUCAUGAAGAAUGAGAACUAAUGCAUUAGUUCCUUUUCAUUGCCCACUGAACUGAUACUUGUGACUAAUACAGAGACUGCCUAUUGCUAGGUCAAAGGAUGCAGACAUUUGAAACAGUAAUAUGCAUGCCAAAUUGCCCUCUAGAAAUACUGAGCAUCUUUUACUAUGUUCAUUAACCAUAGCACUGUGCUAGAUAAUGGGAGAAUGAAGAGCAAGACAGAUACGGUCAUUGCCUCAUAGGGCUCAGAGCCUGACAGAUUUGGAAUUCCAUUUCCACUCCUCAGCCACCCCUCUAUUUGUUUGGUGAUUCAGGACAUGCCACCUCUGCUGCCCCCACAGCGCCAGUCCUGCCUUCUUGGAACAGAAAGGAGUUUGGGGUCUGGGAUGCAGGUGGUUCUACCUGGAGUCAGACAUGCUGUUUUCCUUUGUAAUCUGGCAGCAAUAGUGCUGUAACUCAUCUAAUUUAGCAAACAAUCCUGUGCCCUUAGGGAGGUCUCUCAGCUCAUUUAGCGUAUAUGGAUGACUCUUGCCUUUCAUUCAAUUCAGCACUACUGGGUGGUAUAUUUUCAUGAAAUACUUGUUUUAUUAUACUCACUGUCUCAAGUACUUAAAGUUUCGUGAGUUACUUUUGAUUUUUCUUAAAAGCACACGGCAGUGUUUUCUACCAGAUGAUGACAAUGAGAAGGCAGCCUCAACUUCUAGUAAAACUGAGAUCCUUGAACAGAAGAUCAAGAAAUGUACUAAGUCUACUGCCAGAAACUUUAAUUGGAAGUAUGUGUUCUAUUCACUUGUUGAUAUUUUAUCGACAAAUUCUUGGAGAUGUGCUCCUGAAAGACAGGAUGAGCUUGCAAAGUACUGAUUUAAUUAGCCAUCCCAUGCUGGCCACCUUCCCCAUGCUCUUGGAGCAGCCUGAUGUGAUGGAUGCCCUCAGGGUGGGUAGUGUGCAUUGCAAUGGAAACCUGCUGGCUUAUGGAAGCAGUUACACACUCUGUGUUAAUGAGUUCUGUCAUCUGGUCUAGGCCCUUUUUUUUGUUACUAGGAUGAUGUCUCCCAAUCCCUAUCCAUUGUCUAGGUAACUCAGUCCUCAUCUUUCCCAUCUUAGCAUGAAUUCCCAAGGGCUGCCUUCCCUGACCCAGGGAGCAGAUGGAGUGCCUGCUAUGUGCACUAUUGCAAUCUUUGCCCAUUUUUUCCUUGAUUUAGGAUGGCCACUGAUUGUGUCCUAAGAGCAAAAAUCCAAAAUGGUCUGUAAGAUAAAUCAAUUGAAUUUCCAGGAGAGAAUCAGGGCAUGCACAUCAUCUUUAAUUUAAUUCCGUGUGUGCUGUUUGCUGUCUGAAAUAACUGUUGGGUAUUACGUUAAAUCAUAUGAAAUCUCCAAUUUUCAGCCAUUUUUGGCCUCUCUAAGUGGCAGUUUCAUAUGGUUUAGCCUAAUACAUCAGGGUCAAUAAGUAGAAGAGCUGCAUGCAUGCAAGGCAGAUACACAGGUAACAUCACAAGUGCCAUGGGCGAGGUAUAACCCAGGACCUUGAAGAUUUAAAGAAGGCAGCAAAGAAGGAUCCAAAUUCUGUUUCGUUAGAGAGGUCCUGCAUGAAGAGCCUAAUAAAGGCCAGGGCCAAGAGGAUUUUGACCUGCUGAGAUGGGGGUGAAGACAUUGCAGGUGGAAGGGUUAGCAAGAGCAGACAUUUGAGGCAGGAAGGAAUAGAGCUGACAGUCCAGCUUGGCAUGUCAGAUGCAAGUAGGGGAGUGGUUGGUAGAUGGGCAAGGUAAGCCUGAGUCUUGGUGUGGGGCUGAGGGCAGUGGUAGGUGGUGGGUAACCUAGGAAGGUUUCUUCUUUAGGCAAACUCUGCCAAGUGCAAAGAGGCAGAACAUGUGCAGGAGGAAGGUGAGCAUAUUAGGGGGUGACUCCUGCUGAUAAAAACUAGGCCAUAUGGACCUGACAGCAGAAAUGGAAGGAGGACUCAGUCAUCUACAAAGAUUCUUAUUAGACUUUGAAACCAAUUCGUAUGCUAGCUUGGCUGGGUUGGGAGGGUGUCAAUAGUAAUAAUGACAUUUUCAACAGAGAUGUUUAAGAAAAUGUUCAUGGUGCAUAUGAUCUCCUGUAAUUUUAGAUAAGUUCAUCUGGCACUAUAGCUAGAUAAUGCAGAAUUUCUCUUUCUUCUCCUAUAAAGUCACUAGUAUCAUAAUAAUUAUUCAUUAUACAGAACAUAUAUACACUGAUUCUUCAACAAAGAUUUCACAAGAGCCCACCGUGUAUUAAUAUAAGGCACUGUGCUGGCCACAGGAAUAUUUCCCUAGGUGUGUAACAGGAAUCUGCACCUUGUUCUUAGGAGGAACCUUAGGAACCCGAAUCUAGUCUAAAAUCUGCAUUUCCCUGAUGAGCAGACAGCUCGGAGACAUGCAGUGACCUGGCCGGCCAUGGAGCUCAGCCGUGACCCAGCCAGGGCUGUCCCUGCAGGUCAGCUCUGGGUGCACCCAGAAUGUGCCACGGGCUGCUUGAAAGCAUGAGGGUAAAGUUGUGCACAUAUGUUAUUUAGCAAAAAGACCCCAUUUGAGCCAUAAUAAGUAUAAAUAUAUAUACAUUUAUAUACCUGCCUGUGAAAAGAUCUGGAAGAAUAUAUUGCAGAGAGGUAUUGGUGAAUAUCUCUGGAUCUUGGAUUAUUUUAUCUACAUUUUCUUAAUUUUUUCACAUUGAAUUAUUUGUGUAAUGAUAAUUUUAAAAAAGAAAGUGGUGGUUGUUUCUACACUCAUGAGCCUUCUUCUCUCCGUGGCAUAGUGUAUUACCUAGGAGAAGCUCGGCUGUGCUGUGGUGGUUAGCACAGGUUUAUUUCUCACCCAUGGUGUGUAUCCAGCAUGGAUCAGUGGAAGACGCUGCUCCACAGUCACCCAAGGGUACAGGCUGGUGGAGCCUCCACUGUCUCACAGCACCAUCUGGAACAAGUAGCUGCCUCUGUUGCCAGUUUCCCUGCAGAAGAGGGAGAAUGGAGAAUUGUUCUUGGGCUUUCACUGCAUUUGCUCCAAAGGGGCCUGGGCCACUUCUGUUCACAUUGCAUUGGCCAAAACCAGUCACACGGUCCAUUUAACUUCAAAGGAGGCAUAGUCGUGUUUUUGUUCCAGAAGAAAGGAAGUGGAUCUUGGUGAGGUGAUAGUGACCUUUAACACGUUUGCUAUUCCCAAAUGAGUUACUCUAAGUGAAACAUCCUACUGUUUGCUGGUGGCUGAAUGAAAAAUAAGGCGGGAUAUUGACAUGUAACUAACAAAAAUAGACCAAUUUUUCCAGACGCUAAGUCUACAUUUGCUAAGUGAUACUCACGUUAAGCCAUAUUAUUAGGUUGCUGCAAGAGAACUGUGGUUUUUGCCAUAAAAGUAGUAGCAAAAACCACAAUUACUUUUGCACCAACCGAAUAAAAUUUAAAAUGUACAGCAUGUGAGCCUCCUAGUGUUUACUUACCUAGCACAGUUCAGUUUGUGGAUGACAUUUUAAUAAUAAGAAGAAUGGCACUUGGCCUGUUUAGUAAAACACUCUGGUUCUGUAAGGGUCCUCUUCAAACUCCUAAGGACCCAUAGCACAGCAGUUAAUAGGGUGGAGGACCAUAGUCCCCUCACGUGGUAAUAGGUAUGAACAUUCCAAAAUGUUCUCAUGAGUGGCAUAGUCUGUUAUCUCCUGCUGAGAAACGCUCUAUCAAUGCAUCAUUUAUUUUAUGGAGAAUCUCUUUAUUGGUGCCAUAUGUUAUAUUCAUCCCAGGGCCUCCCCGCUGAGAAAGGUCUGAUGCUUUCAGGUUACUCGUGAUAUCACGUGCCAACAGGAGGAUAUCUACUGACAUGCACAGAACCCAGACCCUGGAACAGGCAGCCGUGAGACUGGUCAUAUUCCACCCACACGUUCAGUUUGCCAGGAAAUGGCACAGUGAAAGUCUUAAAUUCAUACUUCUGUGGGACUAAUUGAACUCUGGGGUUUUUAUUUAUUUAAAGAAAUUUCUGUGAAGCCUUGUGGACAGAUUAGAAAUAUUUACUUAUAAAAUUGUACUUCAGUCUGUCUCAUUCUGACCAUUGUCAUCAUCAUGACAGAGAGAAUUGUAGAAAAGUUUGGUAUUUGGCAGUGUUUUCUAUUUUCAUUACUGUCUUACUUGGAAAGCUUAAUACUAUUUUAUUAUUCAGGUGCUGUGUUUGUAUAGUUUGCAUGGAUGUGUUAGUGUUUCACUGAUUCUAUUCUUAAGUUAGUUUUGAUUUAUAAUUAUCAUGGCCUUCUACGGCAUUUUUCACAGAUACAUCUGCCUAGUCAUUCUGGUGCUGGGUCAUUUGCAAUAGAUUCCUAAUUACAGAUUCACUUCUUGCUUGUGUAGAAUCUGUACAGCAUUUUUAACCCUGUCCAUAAAUUUAUUUACAGAGUAAAUUUGCAUAAGUGUUGCAAGGACUUGUUACUACUUGGACUAAUAUAAUAUUUCUGUUUGCUCUUUAGAGUUCAUGGGCUGAAAAAGAAAGUACAUUAAAAAGAUCAGAGAAGGUAAUAUGAUUUUCCACACUGAACUUCAUAUUUGCAGUACCUGGUGUUUGCUUGCCUAUUCUAAUAAUGUCUCUUUUUUAGCAAAAGUAGCCAUAGUCAUAAUCCCUCUUAACCAGGGAAACUGUUUCAUUAUGGCUGCAAAAACACAUUCCAAGAGGGUUAUGCAUGAUCGUUAGCUAAUGUGAGAAGGAACACUUGUUCAAGACAGCCAUUUCAGAUUACUGAGUUUUAUUUAAAUAAAGGGGAAGUUUCUAAGCCAAAGUCUCUCAGUUGUGUAUCAAAUUUCUUUUAUUUUUAAAAAACUUCUCUAGCUCUCAAAGCCUGUAUCAUAAAGAGAAGGAAAAAAAAAUGGCCUGAGCUGUACCAUAUAUUGAAAACAAUGCAUUGCUCCUGCUUACAUUGCUAUAAAAUCAUGGUAAUUACCAAUCCGAACUUGCUUUAAUCAGUGAGUAGUGAUUUGACUGCUCUCAUCCAGGAUUUGGCAAAUGGGAAGGGCUAGAUGGAAAAUCUUUUUGGCUUUUCAGGUCUUAUGGUCUCUGUCACACUACUCAACUCUGGUGUUGUAACACAAAAGCAGCCACAGACAAUAUGUAAAUGACCAAAUGUGACUGUUUUCCUGUAAAACUUUAUUUAUGAAAAGAGGUGGCAGUCCACAUUUGGCCCACAGUCCAUACUUUACCAGCCCUGAUCUAAAGUAUUCAUUAUCUACGAGGAAAAUGAAGUAACAAAUGAGCUGAAAACCCUAAAAAUUAGGAAACAAUUUAUACAUUGUAUCCUUAUUUCAGCCUCCAUUUGAUCAGAACCAUCUACAUACAUGUGACUUUGCCAAAACUGUCAGGCUUAGUGCUAUUCUAGUACAGCAGCCUUGGGCCUGUAGACAUUGCCCUUAUGUGGACGUGUGGUGGGAUGGGUGGUAUCUCUGUGUAGACUCUGCUGCCUAUGGACAGCUCUGUCCUCAGCUUGCUGUGCUCUCUGAGAUUCCCACCAUGGCCUGUGGGCAUCGGGGCUUGACAUGGGUACAGCUGAUACUGCACCAUUCUUAUCUGGGAAGGGUCUGACAUCCUCAUCACCAAAGGACCCCUCAACCUCCAUCCCAGGCAUUGCUGGAAAUCAGCCAACAACUCUGGAUCCUAUGCAGAACACCUGCUACGAUUCUCUUAGAUAACAGGACAGUUACCUCUGAUAUGCUGUCAGUAAGUAGGUUCAGCGGACUUGGCAUUGUUUUAGUUAUAUUUACCCCUAACCACACUGGUGUCACCAAAAUUAGACUGCAACACCUUGACAGAAUGUGUGAGACACCCUCCAUGGAGCUUAGGGACACCCUGGUCUCAUGGAGCCACGUAGAGGCUCUCAGGGAGAAGUGCUCCACUGUACUCUGUGUAACUCUGCUCACUUCCACUUCUGAAGUGCCAUGUCCUGCCUGAGCAGCUGGCUCAGAGCCGAUACCUGCCAGGCACUAAUGGCACCCUCCCUCCUACCUCUUAGGUGGCUUUUAGUUAAUAGAGUUCAUAGAAUUUAACACUUUAAAAAUAACAAUGUUAUUUGUGGGGGUGGUGUUUUCCCAGAGAGACAAAGAGUUCCUGAAGUCCACGUUCCUCCUGGUUUACCAUGACUGCGUGCUCCCACUUCUCCACUCCACACGCCUACCCCCAUUCAGGUGGGCAGAAGAAGAGACUGAGACUGCACGAUGGAAAGUUAUCACUGACUUCCUUAAGCAAAACCAAGAAAACCAGGGCGCCCUCCAAGCUCUGCUGUCACCAGACGGAGUUCAUGAACCUUUUGACCUUUCAGAGCAGACCUAUGACUUCUUGGGUGAAAUGAGAAAGAAUGCAGUGUGACAGUGGCAGCCUCUAGCCCUCAGCUUCCCACGGAAUCAGAUGGAUCCUCCACGAUUACGUGAAUAAAAUGAUGGAACCAAAAAUCACUGUCACUUUACAACUUAGGUUUUAUUAUUUUCUUUCUACAGACCAUAUUUUUAAAGAAAUGUUUAUACAAUAAUUUAAAUAUUUUUUAAAACCACAAAAUAAAUUUUUGUAAGGAAUACUGUUAUAUCUAAAUUUAAACAGUAUUUAUUUUUUCAAAAACAGCUACUUAAGUUAAUGGUAUAGAUUUCUAUAAAAGCAAGAUUUUGUCAAAAACUAAACUUAUGAUUAUUCAAGAAAGUGAAAAAGACAACCUACAGAAUGGGAAAACAUAUUUGCAAAUCAUCUAACUGAUAAGGGUCUAGUAUCCAAAAUACUUAAAUUUAUGAGUGUUAAUAAAAUUUAUCUUGUUCAAUGAA
rnacentral:sRNA from 1 species